CAAUGGGCGAUAGCCUGGUGCAACAACGCCGCGUGAGGGACGACGGCCUUCGGGUUGUAAACCUCUUUUAGCAGGGAAGAAGCGAAAGUGACGGUACCUGCAGAAAAAGCACCGGCUAACUACGUGCCAGCAGCCGCGGUAAUACGUAGGGUGCAAGCGUUGUCCGGAAUUAUUGGGCGUAAAGAGCUCGUAGGCGGUUUGUCGCGUCUGCUGUGAAAACGCGAGGCUCAACCUCGCGCCUGCAGUGGGUACGGGCAAACUAGAGUGCGGUAGGGGAGAUUGGAAUUCCUGGUGUAGCGGUGGAAUGCGCAGAUAUCAGGAGGAACACCGAUGGCGAAGGCAGAUCUCUGGGCCGUAACUGACGCUGAGGAGCGAAAGCAUGGGGAGCGAACAGGAUUAGAUACCCUGGUAGUCCAUGCCGUAAACGUUGGGAACUAGAUGUAGGGACCAUUCCACGGUUUCUGUGUCGCAGCUAACGCAUUAAGUUCCCCGCCUGGGGAGUACGGCCGCAAGGCUAAAACUCAAAGGAAUUGACGGGGGCCCGCACAAGCGGCGGAGCAUGCGGAUUAAUUCGAUGCAACGCGAAGAACCUUAACCAAGGCUUGACAUAUAGAGGAAACGUGCAGAAAUGUACGCCCCGCAAGGUCUCUAUACAGGUGGUGCAUGGUUGUCGUCAGCUCGUGUCGUGAGAUGUUGGGGUUAAGUCCCGCAACGAGCGCAACCCUCGUCCUAUGUUGCCAGCACGUAAUGGUGGGAACUCAUGGGAGACUGCCGGGGUCAACUUCGGAGGAAGGUGGGGAUGACCUCAAAUCAUCAUGCCCCUUAUGGUCUUGGGGCUUCACGCCAUGCUACAAUGGCCCGGUACAAAGGGCUGCAAUACCGCAAGGUGGAGCGAAUCCCAAAAAGCCGGUCUCAGUUCGGAUUGGGGUCUGCAACUCGACCCCAUGAAGUUGGAGUCGCUAGUAAUCGUGAAUCAGCAACGUCACGGUGAAUACGUUCCCGGGCCUUGUACACACCGCCCGUCAAGUCAUGAAAGUCGGUAACACCCGAAGCCAGUGGCCCAACCGUAAGGAGGGAGCUGUCGAAGGUGGGAUCGGUGAUUAGGACUAAGUCGUAACAAGGUAGUCCGUCACCG
rnacentral:rRNA from 1 species